UCUGAAAACUGAAGAGGAAGAAAAGUCCGAAAAAGCAGCUCAGAAGGCAAGUGGUUUCUCAAGGUCCACAGUUGGACUUCAGCCUCAUUUAUUAAGCAGCAGAGUUUUAGAAGUCUUAAUGCAGAAAUGAGUAAAGACCAAGGGGUGAAUGAAGACAGUAUUCUUCCCCCUC